UGCCGUUCAGCCAAAUGGGAGGACGCACGGUGCACCGCAUCCUGGCUGUGAGCGUUUGAUGAGCCAUGAGUGCAGGCAGCAUGUUCUACAAAAGGAUGGAUGGGGCCACUUAAGCCAGUGAGCCAGCGUUGGUCUAAUGGAUGAUUUGUCCUUGAAGGUGAUUGAGGAAGACGCUGUCCGUGAAUAAUGAAACUCGGGUAAAUUGAUGAGAAGGGUCACAGGGCAUCACUUGAGUACUUCAGCAUCUGCUUGUGAAACCACACCAUGAAGAACCAGUCUUAGCAUUAGAAUACAAGCAGCAUCUGACCAGUCCACUACAGUCAUCAAACAACAGGAAGAAAAAGAUGACUGCCAAGCUUGUAAUUCUAGCACUCUGGAGUCCGAGCCACUUCCUGUAUCCUGGAAUUCUGCAGGCCCUGGGGAACCUGGGCAUCACCAGCUCCAGAACUUGUGGUUGUAACUGAGGACAGGGUGGAAGGUUCACAGCCACUAGGAGAGGGGACUAAAGAAACAGCCAGUCUAGGCCUUGGUUGGGGCAGUGAGCAGCUGAUGGAAACUCUGCAUCUACAGAUGAGUAUCCCUUGUGUGCCGGGACUUUCCCUCACCAGCUAGUUCCCCUCCACCAGCAUGGCUCUUCCUCAGGAUACCACGCUUUGUGUCCAGCCUCCAGCCCUGCUGAGCACAUCCCACACAGAGUCCUUGUGAGAACUCAGUCCUAAAGGCUUUUCAACCUCUGCACCCUCGAGCCCAUCCAUCACUACUAGCAUCCCUGUCUUGUACCCAGCUUCCCAUGUGCUCUCCCACGGGAAGGGACAGUAAAAGCUUCAUUUGCAACUCUUGGCUUCCUGACCUUCAGUCCUCGGCUCUAGCGGGCCACGGGACCUCUGACCCCUAGCCAAGCUUCCCUGAUCCAUGAUGCAUGGCCAGCGUCUUCAGAGACGACUAGGAGUCUCUCCUAUGACCAGCCACAGCUUGUGACUCCCCUAUUUGGCAUGUAAUCUCUUACAGAAAUCUGGAGACUCUACUCAUUCUCUCUUAACUCCCACCUUUAACCUCUGAACCAUUUCGGAGACACUUCCUGGUAUCUGCUCUGGUUUUGUUUGUUUGUUUGUUUGUUUGUUUGUUUGUUUGAUUUUGUUUUGUUGAGAUAGACUCUCCUGUAGACUAGGCUAGCCUCAAGCUUAGUAUUUAGCCAAGGAUAUCUCUGGAUUUCUGGUCUUCCUGAUUCUACUUCUUGAGUGCUAGAUCAUAGGCCCAGACCACCACACCCAGCUUAUGUGAUGUUCAGGACCGAUCCCAGGGCUCCGUGAGUGCUAGAUCCUCAACAGUUCCAGAUCCUCAGCCCUCCCUGACAUCUCUAGCAUCCACCUCUGCUUCGCCAUCACCAGUGUCCGAGUGGAAGCCCUUACUGCAGCUCUCCCCGGCCACUUCAAAAUAGCCAACCAGCAUACUGAGAGUGCCUUCCACACACCAAUCACCAGGCUCCUUAUUUUAGAGUCCAGAACUGCACGGCUUAAACCUGGUGAAUGGGUGAGAAGACAGAUCACAAACAGUUAACUGGAUAAAUGAGUCAAUGAGCAACCUACUAAACACAGAAAUAAGCAAGUGGCCGAGCAGGGUUGGUGUCAUGCCCCACGCUGGUUUAGAGCUCAACACGUUGUCCUGGCUGGCCUUGAAUUUUCAAUCUUCCUGUCUCUGCUUCCUGAGUACUGGGCUUGCAAGGCCAUCAAUGUUAGUCCCUCCCCGAAGGCCUGCAUCUAUGGAGUGGCGCUCACGAGUGUCUCCAUCUAAGUCUGUGUUUCUAAGUCCUUCUUCCAAGAACCAGCCCCAGAAGGUGUCUGCCUCCCCACCCCCACCUCUGACAACCAUCGAAAGCUUCACAGUAAAUUCAUGGCUGCCUGGCUGGGAAACAGGCGGCGGCAAUGGAAAGGAAGCGUGGAUUUGCAUAUUGAAUUAAAAUUAAGAGCUAAUUAUGCAAAUAAAUUAUGACAUUUGGCAGGAGA
rnacentral:lncRNA from 1 species